AGCCACGCAAUGAGCACAUAGCGAACUAUUCUUUCGCCUUUUACUAAAGAAUACCCUGUGCGCGUUGCAAAUAGUGGCAUACGCCAAUUUUUUGAGGGUUUUUCUCUUUUUGAGAAAU
rnacentral:snRNA from 1 species